CAUGCACCGGUUCGGAAUCACGCCACGCCGCCCCGACUUGGGAGCCCGUACCGAGAUUGAUACAGUUGAGAAUGGCACAGACACGGGCCUCCUGCACCUCAUCGAAGGAGGCUGAGGCAUUAUAAGGGCGAUCGAAGUAGUCCGUCCACUCCGACACGUCUUCCACAUUGCAUCUGGACGCUGGCUUACCGUUCAGACGUUGCCAUAGGGUCUUCGCAUCACGUUUGCAUGUAGCUAUGAAGGACUCCAAGGCUCGCAGCCGGUGAUCCCGUCGCGCGUUACGCUUAGC
rnacentral:lncRNA from 1 species